AUUGAACGCUGGCGGCAUGCUUUACACAUGCAAGUCGAACGGUAACAGGCCGCAAGGUGCUGACGAGUGGCGAACGGGUGAGUAAUGCAUCGGAACGUGCCCAGUCGUGGGGGAUAACUACUCGAAAGAGUAGCUAAUACCGCAUACGAUCUAUGGAUGAAAGCGGGGGACCGUAAGGCCUCGCGCGAUUGGAGCGGCCGAUGUCAGAUUAGGUAGUUGGUGGGGUAAAGGCUCACCAAGCCAACGAUCUGUAGCUGGUCUGAGAGGACGACCAGCCACACUGGGACUGAGACACGGCCCAGACUCCUACGGGAGGCAGCAGUGGGGGAUUUUGGACAAUGGGCGCAAGCCUGAUCCAGCAAUGCCGCGUGCAGGAAGAAGGCCUUCGGGUUGUAAACUGCUUUUGUACGGAACGAAACGGCUCUGGUUAAUACCCGGGGCUAAUGACGGUACCGUAAGAAUAAGCACCGGCUAACUACGUG
rnacentral:rRNA from 1 species